UCCGAAUUGGUGUAACGGUUAACAUUGUACGUUUUCAAUCAUUCAGAGCAUUCUGAGUAGACAUCCGUACGGCUCGGGGUUCGAUUCCCCGAUUCGGAG